UACGUAGGGUGCAAGCGUUGUCCGGAAUUAUUGGGCGUAAAGAGCUCGUAGGCGGUCUGUCGCGUCGGAUGUGAAAAUCCAGGGCUUAACCCUGGACCUGCAUUCGAUACGGGCAGACUAGAGUUCGGUAGGGGAGACUGGAAUUCCUGGUGUAGCGGUGAAAUGCGCAGAUAUCAGGAGGAACACCGGUGGCGAAGGCGGGUCUCUGGGCCGAUACUGACGCUGAGGAGCGAAAGCGUGGGUAGCAAACAGG
rnacentral:rRNA from 1 species